AGCUAUCAAGCGAUUGAGGCAACUCUUAGUGUUUGUUCGUCAACAGCAACUUCAAUUUAUUUGAAAAAAGCGUUAUCGUUGGGUACCACAUACGCAUAACGAUUCAUAAAAGACAGAGCGAGUAAGAAUUUCGAUCGAGGAAAGCCGUGUUGUGUUCAAAAUAGUGAAAAGGAAAAUAUAUGUCAAGAAACAUGUACGAAGUUUUCUCUCGUAGGAUAAUUUCACAAACGCUGCCACUAGCACAGACCGUGAAGCCAAUCUUGUUCAAUUGUUAAUAGUUGAAGUUUGGUGGACGCGCCGGUUACAAUUCCUAGAAAGCACCGUGUAAACAGUGUGUUUCGGUAUGACCAAAAGGUGGAAAACAUGGUAGAUCAUAGCUUGCACAUGUUCUAUUGACAAAUUCACCAUUGACAGUAUUGACAGUAUUACCUAUUGUGGUAUUUAAAAACGCAGUGCUGAUAGACGUAUCUCAUUUAGUUUCGUGGCAUCUCAAAAUAUGCAGAGUGGCCUUAGUAUUUGCGAACCAUGCAUCAUUUGAAACAGUGUUGGAGCAGGCGUGUCACUAUAUUAGUUUAGGACACAUACCGAAAUCCUACAGUGCAAGAUCCGGCGAAUGGUCUAAUACAUGGAUAUUGAAUUUGGCUAGGAACAGACAAUGUGGUUUGUUUCGAUUAUUUCCAGGAUUUGUAUCAUCUUUAAUUAUAAAAAAUAUUCAUAAUUGCUUUGUACUUUGAUUUCAGUAUCAUGAAAAACCUCAUUUCCCAUUAAUUUGGGAUAUUUUCAAUGUCAUUCAAUUUAUCAGUUGAAAAUUUUUGUGAGCUUCUAUUCUAAUGUGAAAA